AGAAAAAAUAAGAAGUAAAAGCGUAGGGUUUGGUAAACCCUAUCUCUCCUCCGUCUCCUCCGCCGUCCGACCGUCUCACCCCUUCCGUCUCUGUCUCCCCUCUCGCUCUGUGUCCCCGUCUCUUCUCUGCCAGCGGCGGGUGUCGCUGCGGGUGAGCCACCACUGCAAAGCCUCUCACAUACGUAUCGCUGUAUCUCUCCGUUUCUUCUCUGCCAGCGGCGGGUGUCGCUGUGAACCACCACUGCAAAGCCCCUCACAGACGACAGAUCUCACUGAACCCGUUGCCGGCCGAGUCCAAUCUUUUUGGUUAUGAAAGAACUAUUCUCUACGGAUUGAUGGGGAUGCCAAGCAUGGUGAUAUGAUUGGAUUAGCAAGAUGUCAAGAACCAUCGGAUUCUUAUAUGCUGAAGAUCUUAACUCCGAAGAGCGAGCUAGAAAUUUUCACCUUGCAUUAUGGUAAAUACAUUUCUCAUUCAAGAUGGUGCUUUUUAUGGAGAUCAAAGAGGAAGAUAGGAUGUGGGCAACACUGGACAUAUUUUCUAGGGGGAAUAUCCAUGAAAUGCGGUAAAGGUAAAGUAGUGGUUGAGAGCGAGUCCAGUGGGACUAAAGUCUAGGGUUAGAGGCAUACAAAAAUCUUUCAGAUUAAAUGGUCCAUGUUAGUGUUUGUGAAGAGGGUAUGUGUGAGAAAAUUUUAUGUUGUAAAAUUUAUCAGUGCCCUUGUAUUUCAUUUUGUGUAGGUCAUGGUGCCAAAAUGUUAUAAACUUUUUUGUUGGUUUUUGCUGAAUUUAUCUAAGGAUUGUAAUGUGGUGUUAUGCGUUAUUGGUCUAUAUCAUUAUUAUGAUGACCUCAUUUCGAAUAUUCUAUAUUAGUGGGACUAUCCAGGAGUCGACCACUACACAAAUGCCCACUAGAUAAAUGACAAUGGAUGUGAAGUGAAGUGGUAGGAGAUGACAAGGAUGGUUUAAUAAGAAAGAUCAUGCAGCUAUCAUCGCCACAUGGGGUGAAAAUGAUCAGCAUGGUAAUGACAAUAGAGGGUUCUACAAUAAUAAAACCUAGAGAGAGUCAAAUCAAUUUCCCUAUGUAUGCAAUCAUUUAUUCAUCAUUUUCACCUUUUUUUUUUUUCUCUCAUAAAAAUCUUACUUAAAAUGGAGGUUUAGGGAUUUUCAGCUUUCAUUGUGUCCCUUGCCUAAACAUUUCAAUUUGCAGUUGUUUAUAAUUAAGCAACUCGAUCUUCAGUAUGAAAUUUCUUUGGCUAUGAGAACAUCAUGUUGGAUAAAGGCAAUUAAACAAUUGUAUAAAAUUGUGGGAAUAAAAAAUGGUCGUUUCCAUAAAAAAUGGUCGAAGUAGACAUGUAGUGCUAGGAUAAAAAUUGGGCAUUGAGUACAUACUCGGUGAUAUCAAUACUGAGAAAUCAGAUAAAUACUUUUUAGAUUAUCUUCCAAAUAUUGGUAGAAUAUUUUGUUGGUACUUUGUAAUCAUCGUAUUCCUAUACAAAAUAUCCUUAUAGAAUGUUACAGAUUUUAGAAUAUGUUUGACAUUUUGUUGAUGUUUUGUAAUCUUCAUAAUCUUCUAUAAUAUAUUCUUGUAGAACCUUAUAGAUUUUAGGUUGUCUUCAAAAUUUUGACAGAAUAUUUAUAUUUUGUAAUCUUUAAUAAAAAUAUUCUUGUAGGACGUUAUAGAAAUAGAAUAUCUUCCAAGUAUAGAAUAUUUUGUAAUCUUCUAUAAAAUAUUUUUUGUAAAAUUAUGAAUAUAUGUGUUCUUUUUUUUAUUUUUUCUUUCAACUUAUAGUUUUAAAAGAGAAAUUAAAUAUAACAUGGUUAGCCCAACCACAAAGGAAAUGCUUUGAGUCAUAACAAAGACAAUCUAGAACCAAAAGCUCUGCACCAACACAUUAAUUUUGCCAAACAUAGUAAAGAGAAAUCCUAAUUACUAAAUAUAAAAGGCAAAUCAAAAAAAGAAGAAAUGAGGACACUAACAUGAUCCAUUUAGAUGAAACAAAAAACUUUAGGACACGACAAUAUCUACCACUGCCAAACAAUGAUAAAUAAGAAUAGCCAAACUACCAUACCAUUGGCUUGUUUCAAUCUUAUCAUAACCACCAUAAGAUUUAGUGAAAUAAAGCACUAGAUCUACAAAUAUAAACCAUCCUCGUUAUCAUUCAACCAUAAACCUUUCUUUAAACAUAAAUAAGGUAUCACUAAGAAAAUUAGCCAAAUUGGGUCGACGUCAUAGAUCCCAAACACAUUUCACAAUGAAAGUCCGUAGGAACUAAGCUACAUCGAAAUAAGUCAAUUAAGUCACUAUUGAGAACUUAAAUAGUAGUGUCGAGCAAGUUAGUGACAACCAAAAUGGCUUGGAAUAAAGAAAUAUCGAUAUAUGGGAUAAACAAAAGGCAAUGGGAGUGAAGUGAUGUGGGAGGAGAUGACAGGGAAGGUGUAAGUGGAAAGGCGAUGAAACCAUUAUUGAUCCAUAGGAAGAAAGUGAUAUACAAGGAUGAAGACGAUGAAAGACUCAAUAAUCAAUAAAACCUAGCUAGAGAGAGAACCAAAUUGCUUUCCCUAUAGGCUAAAGCAUUUUUUUCAUCACCACCACAUUUUUUCCCCUUAAAAAUCUUAAUUAAAAAGGGAGGGCUAUGGAUUUUCACCUAGAAUUGUGGCAAUUACAUCAUUGAUUCAAUUUUGGAGUUGUUUCUAAUUAAACAACUCGAUCUUCCUUGCAAAAUCCCCAUGGCUAAGAGAAUGACUUGUUAGAUUAAACAAAUAAAACAAUUAUAUAAAACCAUGGAAAACCAAAACCUUUGAGGAUUUUAUUUUAAAAUAAUAUGUUAGAGUGCAUCGGUAGAUAAUUGCUCUUUUCGACCCAAAAGGGAGGCGGUUGGACGUGAGCUCACAACGUCAGGGAAUAGACUUAGGGGGGUGGAUGGUACCUGCAAGUACUUUAACGCUCAAGUAAGUAAGAGAGUAAAAUGACAGAGUAUCAAUAGGUUAGAGAAGAACCUACCUUGGCUCUGAAAAGAGCUGAUUUAUAUAGAAGGAUGAGAGGUUUUUUUGCAUGCAUGCAUCGUGCGUUUGCAGGGUGAUGAGACUGGAUAUCCGGCGCUGACGAAGCUUCUUGAUAGUGGCAUGGUGUCGAUAAGACACUCAUUAAUGUGGAUGACAUCCACCAUUAAUGAGGAUGAGAUCUUGAGCGAGUGUGGGAGUACCCAACAUGCAGUUGUAAUGAUGUUGCUGCAUGCUAACGUAGGGCCAGAGUUGAGCCAAGGCCGAGAUUGGGUUGUUGGUUAAGAUCAGGCCAGGAUGGAGCUUGAUUGGUCCAUGGGCUAAGAUAGAGUUGGAUUGGGCUAGAGGCU